CGAGUCCUUCAGCUUGUCAUAAUUGAGCACCUUCCACUGCUGAUUCACAGCCUGCCAGCGGUGGAAGAUACGAAACACGGACGGCCCCUCGUGCACGAUCAGAGCUGAGAGAGGGAAAACGAGUAUUAGGACCUCUUUGUGCUGGUAUGGGUUGCCAUGGAUCCAGAGUCUAUCUAGAGAACGCUGGGUGUGAGGCGACCCUGAACUGGACGCCGGUCUGUUAAAGAGCACAAUGUACACACGUUCACAUCAAGGGGCAAUUAAACAUAACCAAUCCACCUGGCAUGUUUUUGGGAGGUGGGCGGAAACUGGAGGAAACCAGAAAAACCCCACGUGGACACGGUGAGAACGUGCACAACUCUACUAACCUGAGUUCAGGAUCGAGCCCGGGAUGCUGGAGCUGUGAAGCAGCAGUGCUACUUGCUGCAACACCAUGCCUCUCUAAUGCAAUACUGACUCACCAGGAGCCUAAUCAUCAGCCAGUAAGAUGACUCAGGCUGAGUUCCAAUACAGUUUUAACCCUCCCUUGUUGACUUCCUCGCUGUGUUUCCCUGGAGGGAAUUCCCAUCACCAUAUAAGGCCUGUUCUAAUACUAGUAACAGUUCACGAACAGAACAUUUCAUUUGCAUUCUAAAAUCAUGUUUUUGAUUAAACAAGUCCGAAAACUCCUCCUACCUCCUCUUUAACCCCCUGUGUACGUACACUAUAUGGCCAAAAGUAUGUGGACAUAGAGCAUCGCACUCAAUAUACACUACUGUAAUAGAUGGCGCUCCCUGUCUGUAUGGAGGAAUAACAGAUAACUCACUAAAAAUACACAGUUAAUUAUUGAUGCAAAAAUUCAGCCUGCAUUAAUUGGAUUUUACUCUCAGAUAUUUCUCUUUCUCUCUCUCUCUCAUUCAUCCACUCUGUAUAGCCACUUUCAGAGAUGUCAUGAUCCGUCAUGGAAUGGAGAACAGGACCGAGUCAUUAAUCACUCCCUCUAAAAUACAUGUACACACGGAGAUUAUUCACAGCAAAAAAGAUCCCUCGCAGCCUGUACGCAUAAAAAUAUAUUAUUAUUCUCUUUAAUCUGCCAAAAAGUGUGUAACAGCCUCCACUCUCAGUCCAAUAGCUUUGUCUGGUCUAUUCAGGCGUGUCUGUCAUCCUAAUAGAGUGGAGAGUCUUUCCCUUCCAUCAGUGCGUGGGUAUUAUAGCCUCGGCCUCUCAAGCCCUCGCCGUAUUUCUCAUCUGUUUUUAUGGACCAUCUGUGACAUGAAGCUACAGAACAGUGAGUCUGUCAAAGCCUCGUAUUUCACACGACUGUCAGAGAAGAGCAGGACGCUGGAGAAGUCAUCAAACGCAUGCCAGUUCCUUUAUAGUGGCCUGAGGAUUAUGGGGCAGCUUUUUAUUGAAGCGAUUAUGUUUGAGGAAAUCUUCUCCAUGCUCAGGUUGAGCCAUUUGUCGGUCUUUUUUAAGUCUCGCUUAGUGUUUUCCUUUGGCUUAUCCUCGCUUCCUGUUUAUCUCUCGCUGUAUAAACGUGCAAGUAGCCCUUCUCACAGAACUCGCAGCGAAGCAGAUUCGCAAUUAUCAUCUGACACUUAAUUAAUAAAUAAUUCUAUCAUUUAAUUAGGAGCAAGAUUUCCCCUGAAAGAGUGACUCGGAGAGGAAGAGAAUGAUCGCAAGACUGCAUUUUACACCUAGGUUUUGGACUGCUUUGUGUUUUCAUGCCCACAUACUGGAUUAUGAUUGGACAAACAUGCAGGUUAAAGGUAACAAUCCUGGGGAUUGAGAGCAAAUGAAAAGUAAUAUGUUUUUUAUUUACUUAAAUAAUCCCGGGGGGUGGGCAUGGUGGCUUAGUGGUUAGCACACUUGAACUGUACCUCCAGGGUUGGGGUUCGAUUCCCGCUUCCACCCUGUGUGCGUGGAGCUUUCCUCCCCCAGUCCAAAGACAUGCGUUGUAGGCUGAUUGGCAUCUCUAAAUUGUAGUGUGCGAGUGUGUGUGAUUGUGCCCUGUGAUGGGUUGGCACCCCGUUCAGGGUGUCCCCCACCUUGCGAGUCCCCGGGGAUAGGCUCCGGGCUCCUCGUGAGCCUGUGUAGGUUAAGCGAUAUGGAAAAUGAAUGAAUGGAUGUAAAUAUUCCUUAGGGGUGGGCACAUAUAUUUUUGACAGAGAAAGAUUUGUUUCGUUAGAACAAAGACAAAUAGUUUAUCAAAUUGUUUUUGUUUUUUUUUAAAUGAAGAGGGCCAAUACUUCUGGAGUUUUGCUCUACUGCUCUGAGUUAUGUUAGAGUUCAAUUAGCUUUAGCACUCCUUUAAACUUUAAUAUGCAGGCUGAGAAGAUCUGAGCGAGCAGUUGUUAAAUUCGAGCUCUGCUCCGUCUAGACGAGCCUGUCUGCACAUUUAAAUUCCGAGAUGAGUGAAUCUGGCAGCUUUUAUGUAUAAAUAUCUCAAUUAUCCAUAGCCAAGAAUGAAGCCACUCGAUAACGCCCACGGCCUUGUCUUCUUCUCCUUCUUGUUUCCAGUAGAUUUUUAUGCUGUCAUAUCUUAAAUGAGCUUUGUGUGUGUGCAUGUGUUGUUACCAUCCCAGUGGUGCUCGAGGGGACAGUUGGCACAACAUGCCUUAAUUAAAGUGUUUUGAACUGAGAAAUAAGCUGAGACAUGACUUUAUGCUCACACCAAAGAUAGUCCUACUUUUUUAGUCCGGGGUAAAUAUUAUAGAACGUUCCUACCCACUUGCAGUUUGGAUGUAGGCUAAGGGUGAAUAUCUUGUUGACAGCGAGUCGAACCCUCCUGGCAGAUGAAAAUAUGCGAACUUGGAAGCAUGCCUAGGUAGUGACGUUAAUUAAAGAUUUCCUAGACUAAGCUCCAACGCAUAAAUAAAACACCACCGUACCUACAGCAGGUUUGGGGACUAUUCCUCGUAUGCAGUUUUACCGAACAUUGGCCUCAUCUCACCACAACAGGCAAUUCGUACUGUAGUUCCCAUCAUGUUUAGGUGCUGGAUUUCAUAACUAGUGUCUGAGGAAGGACUUCCCAACAGCUUUGUGUUAUGGAUACGUUGAUUAUGAAGCUUAACGACCUCAAGACUCGAGUAAAGCAUCAUUCUAAAACUGAUCUCUCACACCUUAUCCACUUCUUGAGAAACCCUGUUCCAAUUUUAAUAUAUCCCUUUUUAUUGCUCAUCUAUUUUAUAUCCAUUUCCUGAUUUGUACAGGUCAGUAACCAUGUCUAUUUUGUGUUGAGAGGUGUUUAGUUUCCACACAAUGAUGGAUAACAGGUAUGAAACUUCACACACACACACACACACACACACACAGACA